AUGAGAAUACUUGCAUGAGUAGCACGAAACAACGAUAAGCGUUGUGGCCGUAAGUCUAAGGUUUCCGAUCUAAAGUAAAACUUGGUCGGCAGAAGUGUGUACUUCUAGAAAAAACGGUCCCUAAGCGGUCAAGCCAAAGCUUGUAGCGAUGGGCAAGAUUAUGCUGUGAUAAGUUACUGACGAAAAAUUCACUUUAUUUUUAAUAUAUUUAAAGGUAAAUUAUUUUUUCCAAGAAAAAGGCUCUUUUUUAAACCGUACCUUAAACCGCCACAGA
rnacentral:rRNA from 1 species